AAGGCCUUUCGGGGUACACGAGCGGCGAACGGGUGAGUAACACGUGGGUGAUCUGCCCUGCACUCUGGGAUAAGCUUGGGAAACUGGGUCUAAUACCGGAUAUGACCACAUCAUGCAUGUGUUGUGGUGGAAAGAUUUAUCGGUGCAGGAUGGGCCCGCGGCCUAUCAGCUUGUUGGUGGGGUAAUGGCCUACCAAGGCGACGACGGGUAGCCGACCUGAGAGGGUGACCGGCCACACUGGGACUGAGACACGGCCCAGACUCCUACGGGAGGCAGCAGUGGGGAAUAUUGCACAAUGGGCGGAAGCCUGAUGCAGCGACGCCGCGUGAGGGAUGAAGGCCUUCGGGUUGUAAACCUCUUUCAGCAGGGACGAAGCGUGAGUGACGGUACCUGCAGAAGAAGCACCGGCUAACUACGUGCCAGCAGCCGCGGUAAUACGGAG
rnacentral:rRNA from 1 species